rnacentral:rRNA from 1 species
GUCUACAGCCAUGCCACCUUGAACAAGCCCGAUGUCUGAUCUCAGAAGCUAAGCAAGGUCGGGCCUAGUUAGUACUUGGAUGGGAGACCACCUAGGAAGACCAGGUGCUCAAGGCU